rnacentral:ncRNA from 1 species
CAGGCGAAAUCCGAAAAGCCUUACAAAGAGUAGGAA